AAUAUAAUUUAUUCCUGUGAUGGCAAAGCUGAAUUUUCAGCAUCAUUACUCCAGUCUUCAGUGUCACAUGGUCCUUCAGAAAUCAUUCUAAUAUGCUGAUCUCAUGCUCAUGAAACAUUUCUUAUUAUUAUCAAUGUUGAUAAUGGUUGUGCUGCUUAAUAUUUUUGUGGAAACUAGGAUGCUCUUAUAAAUAUAAAGUUCUAAAUUAAAACAUUCAUUGAAAACUUAAUUGUUUUAUUAAAAAUAUAAAAGUCUGUCAUUUCUGAGCAAUUAAACGCUGAAUUAAUUUCUUUCAACAACAAAAAAUCGUAUUGACCCCACACUUUUGAACGGUAGUGUUUGUUAGAGAGCAUAAUUUCCAUAAUGCAUUACAGUGUGGUCUUAGAAUUUUUCAUCAGUGUUUUUCUGCCUCAAAACUUAGAACUGAACAAACCGGAAGCGUGGGGACCUCGGGCAGGUAGAUAACAUCAUACCGUGCAGCUCAGGUUUGGACUUUUUAUUCUUGUCCUCUACUGGCAUGGCCGUUUUCCCUUCCUCUUCGUCAUCAUCUCCCAUCUCAUCAUCCUCUCCUUCACUUAUCAAGCUCUGAGCCAGGUGGUUUUGUACUGGACCAGUUUCUGUCCACGAUACCGCACCGAAGCCCAGCCGCAGCCAGACUUCUUGGCCGGGUUCACCAGGCGCUUGCAGUGUGUUGCCCAG